rnacentral:rRNA from 1 species
CACGACAUACCGUUGGUGCCAAAUACUUGCAAGUCGAGCGGACAGAUGGGAGCUUGCUCCCUGAUGUUAGCGGCGGAAGGGAGAGUAACACGUGGGUAACCUGCCUGUAAGACUGGGAUAACUCCGGGAAACCGGGGCUAAUACCGGAUGCUUGUUUGAACCGCAUGGUUCAAACAUAAAAGGUGGCUUCGGCUACCACUUACAGAUGGACCCGCGGCGCAUUAGCUAGUUGGUGAGGUAAUGGCUCACCAAGGCAACGAUGCGUAGCCGACCUGAGAGGGUGAUCGGCCACACUGGGACUGAGACACGGCCCAGACUCCUACGGGAGGCAGCAGUAGGGAAUCUUCCGCAAUGGACGAAAGUCUGACGGAGCAACGCCGCGUGAGUGAUGAAGGUUUUCGGAUCGUAAAGCUCUGUUGUUAGGGAAGAACAAGUGCCGUUCAAAUAGGGCGGCACCUUGACGGUACCUAACCAGAAAGCCACGGCUAACUACGUGCCAGCAGCCGCGGUAAUACGUAGGUGGCAAGCGUUGUCCGGAAUUAUUGGGCGUAAAGGGCUCGCAGGCGGUUUCUUAAGUCUGAUGUGAAAGCCCCCGGCUCAACCGGGGAGGGUCAUUGGAAACUGGGGAACUUGAGUGCAGAAGAGGAGAGUGGAAUUCCACGUGUAGCGGUGAAAUGCGUAGAGAUGUGGAGGAACACCAGUGGCGAAGGCGACUCUCUGGUCUGUAACUGACGCUGAGGAGCGAAAGCGUGGGGAGCGAACAGGAUUAGAUACCCUGGUAGUCCACGCCGUAAACGAUGAGUGCUAAGUGUUAGGGGGUUUUCCGCCCCCUUAGUGCUGCAGCUAACGCAUUACACACUCCGCCUGGGGAGUACGGGUCGCAGAACUGAAAACUCA